GCGGCCGGGUAGGGCGCGGCUCUUGCGGCCCAAAGCGCAAUGGUCGUUGGCGAGCAGAUUAGGAAGCUGGUCUGGCCGCUUGGCGGAGUGGCGGCGUCACCCACAGGAUCUCCUCCUCCUCCCGUUUGCUUUGCCUCGUCACGGUAGCUUGUGCUUGGCAAAGGACCGAAAGCAUUGGCACGUGCAUGCAGGAAUAGGAAGCCCGCCCUCCUGGGUGGGUGGUUGGUGGAGGGGUGCAGCCCUCUCCAAAGCAUUUUUAGUCGCAAGUGAAAUCCAUUCCGUUUAGUUUAACGGCGCCGCCCUGCCGAGUAAAAGGCAGCACGUAUUUCGAGAACGAGAAACGAAGCCAAAGGUUGCAGUAUAUUAAAUACACAGCUACAGCUGUGAAUUUCCAAGGCCUUUAGCACGUCUGCGCUUCUGAAAAAGUAAAGCUGUGCACACUUGGGAGUCAGCCGAACUGAACUCGCGAAGACAUAUUUCUGUGUAAAUCUGCAGAGGAUGAAGCUAUACAGUUUCGGGCUUCAGAGAGGGAUUUGAAACGUGAGAAACUAGGAGCAGUAAACAUCAGAACAUGAGACCAGAAAGCUCUGCUGAUGUCCCUCAAGUUAGAACUCUCUGGUUACCUAAGUUGUCCUGGUGGGCCAGGCAGCCUCUGGCAAAAUUCUCCACAUUACUGCUGCCACCACAUGGUAGGUUUAUGUCCCCUUUUACUUAAUAGAGGUGGGCACCACUGGCAGAGAGAGUCUAGGUCAUGCAUGAUGGAGAACCUGCGGGUCCUUCAGAUUACAGUUCCCAUAAUCCUCGAGCAUUGCUGAGGCUGAUGGCAGUUGAAGUCCAAAUGUAUCUGUGGGGCAAUAGGUUUCCCAUUCUCCACCCCAUCCCAGAGCAUCUCUUAGCGCUGCUACUAUGCAGGGCACAUUUCCUUCCCAGUUGCUUGCUCUCUGCAUUUCCCUAUGCAUCAGUGGGAAAAGACUCUGAGCCUUUCCUGGCCCUCUUUUGUUUCAUGCGAUUGCCACAGAUGUCUGCCAGCUAAGCCACAUAGUUCUCUGCCAUGUGGGCAUGGACUUUGAGACUGCUUCCAUUUCUCGGUCAUGCUGAAUGCAGCAAAGAAACAAAAGCUUAAAGUAGCAUUUCAAUUAUAGGCAGGCUUGGAAGGGGACUUCUAGAGCUUGUUGUCUCCAAACUAAGUAUACUUUAGGUGAAAGGCUUAAAAUAAUAAUAAUUCAUACACAGAGGGGAGUGAUAGCCCAUAGGCUUCUUACCUUAUUUUCAGUGCUGAAUUGCGUUAUCACUAGAAAAUUUAACUGAUGUUUAAUAGCAGGCUGUUUCCUUGCAAUGCAAUCUCACUAUUUUUAUGCUAUCCCUGGAAAUGGAUUUGUCUGCCUUGGUUGGGGAUUUGUCUCAGAAACAGACCGGUUUUAUACAUGAGGUAAUUUUGUGAAAUGUGUACUACUAACAAUAGAAUCAGAGAUCCCCAGCCUUAUAUGGAAUAUGACCUGGUUCAAACCAGAUCACAACUGGAGUACCUGCUGAUGGUCACAUUUAUGCUUGACAAGCUGCAUUACUCAGUGACUGUGCUUGCAAUUCGAGACACCCUUUCCUGGGAAUAAGCGCCAUAGAAUUCAAUGGAGUUUGCUUCCAAGUGGAUAGGCCCAGGAUUUCAUUGUGAACUUAUGGGAUUCAUUCAUCAUUUGCAUCCUCCUUUCAUGACACCAGAGAACUGAUACUACAACCUUCCCCAGAGAAUAGUAACCCACCCCAAUUCUUUCUUCAUAAGGUGCACUCUAUCUAAAUCAGGUGUGGGAAAACUUUGCCUCUCCAACUGUUGCUGAAUUGCUGCUCCCAUGUUCCCUGGACAUUGGCCAUUCUUGCUAGGGCUGAUGGGAGUUGUGGUUCAGCAACAUCUGGAGGGCCAAAUGUCCCCUCACUCUUGAUCCAAAUAAUUUUUUUUUGCAAACAAACUUUGUUCCGUUUUUUUAAAAAAAUAAAAAACAACAACAUUUAAAUGUAUGUCUUUUAAAGCAGAAGCGCACUUUUGCUUCUUGGUUUUUCCUUGGUUCUCUCACCCAAACAGUGCUGAGUGUUUCUUGAGAGAAGGCUGAGUCUCCAUUGCAUGCCCUGGUGGUACUUACAUUGCUUGGAGUCAGGCGUCACCUUUUCCAUGAGGGCGAUAAAGUUUUCCAGGAAUUCAGUGUUGUUGUCCGACUGGCUGAGGUCUUUGCAAUAUUCUCUGGGAUUAUGAUGAAAAGAUUUGUCGUUUGGAAGGAUGAAAAAGUUACUGUCAGUUUUCUCCCUCUCAGAACUGCUAUAAUCAUGACUUUGUGUGCAACGUAGGUGAGGCUGUUACCCAGUCAUGUUGCUGCUGUGCCUAAGAGAACACUUUCAAUACUGUCUGCGUACAUGUUUGAGAUAGGAGUGGUGGGGGAUUCAAAGAUAUUUGUCCUGUCCAUGAGCAAAGCUGUGUGAGACAUCAGUACUUGUGUGCACUUGAAAUCUAUUUGUACAAAUGCAUUUAAAUGUGGGUAUGUGAGGAGGAGGAGGAAGUAAGUGUGGAAAAGGAUACGUGUAAAAACCCAAAAUAUCUUAAAAACAGAUCUUCACAUCGAAGAUACUCAGACGUUGUUCUGUAUUACUUGGGCUCAAUUUGGAACACAAGUGGAUACAGAUUGUAAUCAUUAUUUAUCUCUUUCCUUUCCCCCCAGGUGGCUUACAGAUAAAUUAGAUGGCACUGUGCUUAAUAAAGAUGGUAUUCGGGUUUCCCACAUUGCUACUAUUGUGCCUCUCAAUAAUAUUGACUGAUGCCACCCACCACCAUCUGAAACAAGAAGAACACUGUGAAUACUAGUUACAGUACAUUUACUGCUUCCUACAUUGGCUUUCACUGUUUCACCACAUACUUUUCUGCAAAUAUUGCUGACUCUAACCCUAAAGAGCAACGGACUGAGGAUGGAAAGAACUACAAGUUAGAAGUUAAUAAUAAUGCGAGAGCUGGGCAUUUACAAAAGAGAAUCAACAGGAAGAGAUGUUUACUCCUUCACCUGCUCCCUCUAUCCACCACACCUACCCAAUCGCCAAAUCUCUCUCCUUUUAGUGGCCUUAGGAGGCAGGCGAGAGUAGUUGUCGGGAAGGGUCAAUCCCACCACUACUUUUUAUUUGCAAAUAUACACCUCAACCUUGCAUGAGUCUUAUGAGGCAGACAUGGGAUUUAGAACUCUGUGUUUCCUUUAGAAAGUGUCAUUUCUCCUCAUCCCUUCCCAGGCAAAAGCUUAUUGAACAAAGCAGGAAGAAUAUAAGUGGAGCACACUGUAAUCCAAUAUGCAGACAGGUUAGCAGCAACAACUAUCCAAAUUGCAUUCACCAUGUGUUGAUGUAUACACAGACACGCAAACACAUAGAAAAUGCCUUCUGAUUCAACUGUGCACCCAGGAGCAGGACCAUAAUGCAAAGGGGGAAAGUGGCAGAUUAAGCACUUGGUGACUUGGAGUAUGAAGGGCUGUGCUUAGGAGGCAACAAGCUUCGAGGCAAGAUGGCUCCGUUUCUUGCAUGAAUUGAACUGUAACUUUGCACACGGGACUCCCUUUGUUAACAUCAUCCCUUUGCAAGAGAGGACCAAAGAUACUCACCUGGACAAAAUUUCUGGUGUGCCAUUUGGCUUCAUUUUUGAAUGUUACUGAAUUUGAAAACUGCUUUGCACUUCAAGGAAAUGGGGGACAUGAUAGUAGUGAGUGGAGAAGGAAUGCAUGGGAGAAAACCCUGAGGAUCUGUUUCAUCUGUGGAACAAAUCAAUAUUCCAUAGUGCACAGAUGUGCUCUGGACAGUAACAGAGAAUCACUCUUCACCCACAGCAAAAAGAGAACAAGGUGGGCAGCCAUGCUUUGGAUAGAAAAGCACAUCCUUCAUAUAGAUUGAUAGGGGCCAACCCUAGACUGUAGAAGGGAAUGUAUUUUCAGUACAGACUUGUAUCCUCUCUCUCUUAAAAACAACCCUACCCAGGUGAUAAUUUGUGCUCUUACAGACCCCACACUUCUAAUGGGUUGUUGUCUAUCAGGAUUGCCUCCCCAGAGUGUGUGUUUGCAUGCCUGCAAGUAUAUAAAAGACGGAGAAUUAUUUAUUACACAGAUCCUACUGCGAAUAACAGCUCUGUAUUUGGCAUUAUGCCAGUAUACUUCUGUCUCUGGAAGCUUUCCAAGAGCUGCAGCUGCAAAGUUCUUGUGAACAUUUUUCACUUGCUGGCUUUGCAUUGCCAGUAGCUAAUGGCUAAGGAUGGAGAGAGUGAGUGUGUGUGCUUGGCCUCAUUCCUCACUGCCUCUCAGGAGUAAAAAGUAAAGGCGGACAUUCAUUUAGAGGGCUCAUGACAGCACACCAUUGCACUUUCUGAUGCUAGAAAAAAGAGAGAAGUUACUGAGUUUGCCAAUCAUAGUUUAUGGUAGCUCCAGAGGCCUUAAGGGUUUCUCACAGCUGACAACAUUGGGAGGAAAAAACCCCUCACAUAUGGGAACAUACAGGGCUUUUGCGAAAACUGCUGAAUGAAUAUUCAGGCAUUAAGGGGCUCAUGCAAUGAGGAGAGUGGUGGACAUGCUACUUGACCCCAGCUCUUCCUUUUGCCUAACCCUUGUUGGGCCUGCUACCCUCCAAUCAUUGGAGGAAAAGUUCCAUAUCAGGAAGCCUACACUAAUACAGCUGGCUUUUUGCUGUAGACCCUCUUCUCUUGUCCAACACAGAGAAGGCAGUGGGAAUACUUAGGCCAUCUUCACCUUAACUCAUGUAAUGCUAAAUAGGUCUUAAAAUAAACCUAGUAAGAAGGCUUACCCAGUGGGUGAGGGCCAUGUUUCUAAGUCACCUCCAGACUGUCACUAUUUUGCAGGAGGGAUUCAGUCACAAAAAUGACACAGGCCUGGCCCAACCAUGAAGUGGCAGAAGCCCCCUGAGGCACUGCAUCCAUGGGGGCCCCGCCACCUCCGCCACUGGCGCUGACGUGGCGCCUAAAUCUUGGAAGAUCUCACCAGAAAUUGGUGCCACUUUUCUGGUGGUGGAGGUGGGAGCAGAACUGGGCAGCACAUCCAGUUAUGUCUCAAGCAGUGAAAUGGGAUGCACUGCCCUUGCAAAAAAAUGCAUUAGAAAUUGUGGGAUAAUUUUUGGUUGACAGAAAUAUGUGUAACCUCCAUGCAAGCAAGUCAGGAUGAAUGCUUAAUCAAGAGCAAACACCAUAUAUAACUUACACACCAGCUGUGUUCAAGGAAAUCGGGAUGAUACUCUGGAGCAAAACUUGGCCCUCCAGCUGUUUUUGGACUACAAUUCCCAUCAUCCCUGACCACUGGUCCUGCUAGCUAGGGAUGAUGGGAGUUGUAGUCCCAAAACAGCUGGAGGGCCAAGUUUGGCCAUGUCUGCUCUGGAGGGUAGGACUGAAACCAAUGGCUUCAAGUUACAAGCAAGGAGAUUCCAACCAAACAUUCAGAAAAUCUUUCUGACAGUAAGAGCUGUUCGGAAGUGGAACAGACUCCCAUGAGAGGUGGUGGACUCUCCUUCCUUGGAGGUUUUUAAGUAGAGGUUGGAUGGCCACCUGUCAUGGCUGCUAUAGCUGAGAUUCUGCAUUGCGGGGGUUGGACUAGAUGACCCUUGGGUCUCUUCCAGCUCUAGGAUUCUAUGAUUCUAUGCUGAAUAGACAGGGCAAAUGGAAGAGCCUCUAAUUCACAACACAAGAGCGAAUCCACUUUAUUCCCUGCUGUAUCAUACUGCUCCCAAGGAGGUAAUCAGUGUGCAUAUCUUGUUAAGUUUGGCUUUUACAGAAAGCCUAAACAAGGCAUAGGCAACCUUGGCUCUCCAGAUGUUUUGGAACUACAACUCCCAUGAUCCCUGACCACUGGCCCUGUUAGCUAGAGAUCAUGGGAGUUGUAGUUCCAAAACAUCUGGAGAGCCAAGGUUGCCUAUGCCUGGCCUAAACUCUGAAAUAAUUGUGCUGCAGUAUUCUGGAGACCACACAAUCAAUUCCUCAACAAGUAUCAAGUGUUGCGUAAUUGAAGUCAUUAACUGGUCAAACCAAGGAAGCUAUACUGUAUAUCCAUCAUAGUGACUGGGCAAUUAACUGUUGCGUUGCACUCACACUGAGAAUCACUGGAGGUGCUAGUUUCAUCAGUGCAUGUUGCUUCUGUUACUUACUUCACUCUCAUUAAUACACUGUAGUUGAGCCAAAUUCUUCCUGCAUUUCUCUAAUGAGGGCUGAGAAAAACAGCAGUAGAAAUGUACAGCAAUACAGUGCACUCCACUUAUACACCCCAUAUGUUUUUAGGGAUAGGCCUUUGUAUUGAACAGGUACAUUUUUUGCACUCAAAUGCUUCAAGCUAACUGUUUAUACUUCCUACCUGUCAGAUUCUGGAAAAUGAAUGCAAAUAGCACUUAAAAUAUGCUUGUAAGAAGAGUCAGGCCUCACCUGUAAAAGUUUGUAAUCACAUUUUAGGAGAGGCAGCUGAGAGGCAAAGCUAUUUUACUCUGCUAAUUUCCUGACUUUCCAUCAAUAUACUGCAAGUCCUCCUACGCGAGUAUAAAAUCAUCUUGGCUGGCCACAUAAUUUUGUUUCUCAAAGACCUAGAAGUACACAACACUGCAUCCACCAAUAUAUCUACACAAAUGUGUACAGAUAUAUGUGCUUGCACGCCCACAAAUAGAUCAUUAGUGAUAUAUGGUUUCUGAAAAUUACCAUGGGCUAUUGGCCACAUUAGUAUUGAUGAGAUAUCAUACAGUCUCAUUAGUAUGCUGUUUGGUAUUAUUGGUGCUAAAGGGCUAACAGAUGGUGCAGCUGAAACUCAAGCGCUAUCAUGUGACCUUCUGUAUUAUGACUUGACAGAACAGGAGUCUGUUCCGAUGUAGCAAGAGACCUGAUUAGACGUUGUGUUGUAACGAACAUUUUCCGAAGAAUUUGUUAGCAGUGUUCUGGUUUCUAUUUAUAGAAAAAGUCUUAACAAAAUGGUAAAUUUCCUUAAAAAACAACAUUAGAUUCAUGUAUACAUUUCACAUUAAUGGGACUUUGAACACUGAUUUGGAUGCUGACUAUGUAAAGCUCUUCACUUAUAGCAUGGAUGCUAGUGAUGGACUGCUGCUUACAGCACAGAGAUGGGGAAUUUGUGAGUUCCCAGAAGUUGUUAGACUAUAGCUCCCAUCAACCCUGGCCACUGACCAUGUUGGCAGGGGCUGAUGGGAGUUGGAGUCUAACAACAUCUGUUCACCUCUUAUGCUCUUAUGUUCUCCCUGAUUAUGCUUUGUAUAAGAGAAGCAUCUUAGAAUAGUAAAUCUAAUAGUUGUAUAAAUAAAAGUUGGAAACACACACUCUUCAGUAUUAUUCUUUUCUGUACAAAGCUGAAUUUGUGGAGGGUUACCAAAUCCAUGUGAUGUACAGAAAUUCUCUUCCAUUUUUAAAAAUACUAUAUUAAAGAUAGGAGGGACUAAUAGGAUCUCACCAUUUCACUUUACCCUGAUGCCAAAUGUAACAUCAGUUUAUAGGAUUUUGGCUGACGUUUGCCAAUAACCCCCCUCUCUGUCUCCCUAUGGCAUUUCUAUCUUGGCUUUCUUUGAUAGCUCAUGGCAGCAGCCAUUGUUAUUGACCUUCCAAUUUUACCCUCAAAACAACUCUGUCAGGUAUGUUAGGCUGAAAGAGAACCCAAAGUCACUCAGUGAGCUUCAUGACUAAGGCCGGCUUAUAAAAGUGGCUUCAUGAUUUUUUACAUAUAGCAGUGGAAUAUUUUAUCAUUCCUACUGCAUUAAUGUGGCCUCACAAAGGUAUUUAGCAAUAUUGAAUCAUGUACAUUUUGAAAAUGCUUUCUGAACAACACAGUGGCUUUAUGAAAGCUUGGAAGUAUUUUCACUAAUAAAAAUAGUGCAGGGAGUGAGUGAUUCAUGCUAUUGUGGUGUUUAUUUAUCAUUAGGUAUUUUUAAAUUUUGGUAUUUGUGAAAUCCAAAAACAUAAACAAAACUGCCCUAGAUCUUUAAUUUCUUUCUCAGAAAAAAAACAGGCAAAACACCAGUCUUGUGUUAAAAAUCAUUUGGUCAAUAAAUCAUGGGUCAAACAAAUGCUGUGUGAUAGGUGCACCUAGUCAAUCAAAUCAAAUAAUGGGAUAUUUGGAGCAAACAACUCUUUGGGGUGGAAAGUAUUGACUGAAAUCAUUCAGUAGGAAAGCUAGAUGGCGUUGCACAUGAUACUCCUGCCUUCCAAAGACGGCUUUUGGCUUAGACAAACACUGUGUAUUAUAUAUAAAAAUGUGUUUCAGAUUUAACUAACAUGAUGGCAUGAUCUCAACAUGAUCCAAAUAGGACUGACUUAUUAUUUUGUGAGUAUUUUCAGAAACUAUACCUAUAUAUGUAUGUGCACAUAAUAUCUCAUACGCAGGCAUACAUAUAUACUCUUCUUAUGUAGGUGAGUGAACAGAAGGUGGGACCACUGCGCUGCCAACCACAGUGGCGUCUCAACAAGGUGCAGGUGGCAGCUGUAGUCUCAGAGUGGCACACAGGCAGACGACAGACACAAAAAAGAAGGAAAGAAAAAUGAUCAAGACUUUGGCACAAUGAGGAGGUGUCAGCUCAGAGGGGUGGGAGUGAUGAAGUAGAAUAUUUAAAAGGUGUGGCAGGGAGGGAAGUGGGGAUGGGAAAGGGGGCUGAGUCAGUCCCAGGAUCAGUGUUGGGGGGAGAGUGGUUGAAUGGACACCUCAGCAAGCUCACACGCAAAGCUACCUUGGAGCAAUGAAUACAUGUCCCUCGGACUCAAAGCUGUUUGGCAGCAGGUAUUCAAAAUCUGCAACAGAAAGGUAACGUUAUCCGGCAGGGGUUUGAAAUGAGGGAAGAAGAAGGCUUCAGUCUCAGAAUGUGACAGAAGGUAGAGAAAGAGAAAGAGAAAGAGAGAAAGAGAGGAGUAAGGGGAGAGAGAGAAAGAGAGAAAAAUAGACAGGAAUAUACAAAAGAGGCAAAACAACUGACUAGUUUUAACAAGAGAGAAAGGAGAAAAGAUUCUUUGGUAACUAGCAUCAUACAAAGUUAUAGCCAAUAUGGUGCCACCAUUUGGAGGAUUUUGAUAUUUUAUUGUCUAUAUAUAUAUAUUUAUAUAUAUAUAUUUAAAAAUCAUAUAAUUGAAAUUAAAUAUGUUUGAUAGAUUGUAUAUGUAUUGCUUUGGGGGCUAUACAGUUACAUAUACACAUAUACACACAUAUAUCCUCAUAUUUAUACAUACAUACAUAUAUGUAUGUUUGGUAGGUUAUAUGGACAUCUCUCUCUUAUUACAAUAUUAACAACAAAAAUAAACCACAUGCUCUGCUCAUACGGAAAGAGAAUUACCAAAACAAUAUUUUGUAAGAAAAAUUAUCUUUCAGGCAUCAACAUGGCCAAACCAGGGUCCUUUAUGAAGACAGUCCAACCAAAGACUUACCCAUCAGAUAGAGGUAAAAUGCAAUGCAUUGUCGAGAGUGCAGCAGCUGCCUUCUAGCUGACAGUGGUCUCAAAGCUCUGCAAUAGCCAUCCCUCCCUAGUCCAAACAUAGAACACUUCCUCCAGAUUUCAUAGGAGCAAACAGAUGCAACCAUAGCAAGCACAGAGCAGCAGAUGUGCUCUUCCAAUGCUGAAUGUCCAGCUCUAUUGGCUGAUUGCUUGAAUUUGUCUCUCUACCUGCCUGUCAGUUUGUGAUAUGUCCAGUACUCUCUCUCUCUCUCUCAUCUGUUUAACAGGCAUUCAGCUUAAAUGGCUUUAUUAAAACAAAGAACUAGAUGUGCAAAAAGAGCAUAUGCUAGAUUAAGUUAAAGCUGUGCCCAGAUGGCCUCUUGAAAGUCUCCAGCCUAUUUCUGAACAGAGAAAUUGGGAGGAUCAUGAUUUUUCCCAGUGAGAGAGGAGAAAUCCCCCAUUUAUUUCUCUAGAAUGGAGAUCACCAUUCACAGUGGCGGGUACAGUUUCUCCACCCCUCCCAGCCAGUUCUUUUUCUGAUGCUGCUAGAAAUGAAAGCAGCCACAAAUGUGUUGGCCACCUUGCCACCAAUUUGCUAUGAAGUAGGAACAAAACCACUGCAAACUAGCUUGUCCAGUUAACCCUUGGCAGGUGGUCCUGACUGAUACCAUGGCCUUUGCUAUCAACAGCUGCUGAGAGAUCUAGGAGAAUUAACAGGGCCAUCAAAGCGGCUAACAUUCCCUUCCUCCCCCACAACAAACACUCUGUGAGAUGAGUGGGGCUGAGAGACUAGCCCAAGGUCACCCAGCAGCUGCAUGUGGAGGAGCGGAGACGUGAACCCGGUUCCCCAGAUUACGAGUCUACCGCUCUUAACCACUACACCACACUGGCUGAGUCAUCUACCAGGCAACUGAGUCAGUUUCCCUCCAUAACACAUCCUGAAGUCAGUCUGAAACAGCCAGUUUCAACCAAAAACAAGUCAAGCCAAGCUGGUUUUCUACUGUCUGCUAGACAUACUUUGCCAAGAAUCACAACUCUGAGAUUAAUUUGUAAUCCCCCAAUAUAAGGGAGAACACUUUUCCAACAAUGAUCUUAUCAUCGUCUUGCCCUGAAGAAUUAAACCUUCAUGCAAUUAUUUCAACCAAUAUUACUUCAUCAGUCAAAAUGGACAGGGAGAAAUCAACAGGUAUGUAGUGGGAUGGGCCACAACUGAUACAGGAAAGGGAGAUAGAAUCCUUAUGGACCACAGCAAACAUUGCUCCCCAUCCAGCAACCUUAUGUUGCUCCAAUACCCAGCUAGAAGCAAUUUGGACCAAUAGGACCCACUGCCUCAUCAAACCAAGCUUACAUAAUACCAGGACGCCCCUAUCAAUUCACCCCUAUCCUAGCAUGGAUGGUAUCUAUAUUAUUUUGGCCUUACCUGGUAUUUUAAAAUAAACAAAUGAAGGAUCUUUGGAAGGGUGACUGAGCUCCCUGGAAGUAAAGGCCUCAAUAGAGAACUAAAAAAACACACCACACAAAUUCUUGAAUUUGUCUAACUAAUGGAAACCUAGCAGAUCUCCCCGCUCCCCUAUAUCUAACCCUGGUCCACAAACAUCUACCUCUGCCAGGCACAUCUGAGCUCUAAUCACCAUCUCCACAGCGUAGUAGCAAUUAGCAAUAAUUAAUUAACACUCCACACUUGGCAGCAGGAUAGUGACAGCUCAUAAGAGGACACAGAAUUAACUGCACACCAGAAUUUAAUCUAAAUUAAUGGCUUAACUUUAAAAAAACCCUUCUAAGGAAUAUAGCAUAAUGCCAAGUGAGGAUAAAAAAAAAAGUGCUGGAGAGCUACAGAAUUAAUCAGAGUAACCACAAAGGAACAAUGGAACCUUAUUCUCACCAUAGUGGAAGAUAUUAAUGAUAUUACCAAUGGGGAAUAUGACCAACUCUUACUGGAUAAACUUCUGGUGGUACAUGUGAUUGACUAAAAUAUCACCAGCCAUCAUUGGAUGGGCUCAGUCCAGACGAAGGUCGAAUGCCUAUCUUAAUCAGAGAAAAUGUAAGCAUUCCCAAUGAAUAUGCUUUCCUUUCCAUGGAGGCGCAGGUUACAGCAACAGCUAAGGCAACAUUUUUCCAUCUUUGCCAUAUUAAGCAGUUGGUCCUUAGGUCUCCCACCCCGAUCUGGCCACAGUGAUCCACGCGACGGUCAUCACUAGGCUUGACUACUCUAAUUCGCUCUACGUGGGGCUGCCCCUGAAACUGCCCCAGAAACUCCAGCGGGUGCAGAAUGCUGCAGUGAGGCUCCUCACGGGGUCCCUGCCAUGGGAGCAUAUUCACCUAGUGCUUUACCAGCUGCACUGGCUCCCAGUGGAGUAUAGGAUCAGGUUCAAGGUGCUGGUUUUGACCUUUAAAGCCCUUUGUGGCUUAGGGCCCUCGUAUUUAUGGAACCGCCUCUCCUGGUAUGCCCCACAGAGGACCUUAAGGUCCAUGAAUAACCAUAGUUUAGAGGUCCUGGGCCCUAAGGAAGUCAGACUAUCCACCACCAGGGCCAGGGCCUUUUCAGUGAUGGCUCCGACCUGGUGGAAUGCUUUGUCCCAUGAGACUAGGGUCCUAUAGGAUUUAACCUCCUUCCGCUGGGCCUGUAAGACAGAGCUAUUCUGCCUGGCCUUUAAUUUGAACUCAGCCUGAUCUUUUAUUUCCCUUCUUUUCCCCCCUCCCCCCUUUUAUGAAGAUUACCCGCUGUGGGACCCCACAGCUAAUUCUCCCCUGGCCUUCUUGCUGGCCCACGUAGGUUAAUUUAGCCAGCUAGCCCUGGUGACUAUCUAAUGUUUAUUGGAUGGAUUUCCCCCAAAUUGAUUCUUGAACUUGAAUUUUAUCGUUAUUCAUGCUUUUAUACUGUAUUUUAUGCUGCUUUUAUGUUAUAUUAUAAUUAAGUGUUUUAAAUUUGUUGUU